rnacentral:lncRNA from 1 species
UCAAGUAGCCCGAAAACCCGAUUUUUUACUAAGAACAUGUAACAAUGACCCAAAACAGAAGGAUGAGAGUUAUGAAGAUUAAUAUUGUUCCUAAAAUGACUAUCCAUGUUACAAACAUGUUUAGAAUUUGUGCUGAUACAGUUCGGAUUAUAUAAUUCAAACUGUUUUACCUUGAAAAAGGGUGUUUAGGGGGUUUCCGGAUUAUGUAAUCUGAAACAUCAUGUAACACGCCCUAUUUUUUGAAGUUUCCAUAUUACAAAAUCCGG